GAACGCGAAGAACCUUACCAGCCCUUGACAUGCCUCGGAAGUGGACGAGAGAUCGAUCACGCUCUUCGGAGCCGGGGACACAGGUGCUGCAUGGCUGUCGUCAGCUCGUGUCGUGAGAUGUUGGGUUAAGUCCCGCAACGAGCGCAACCCUCGCCCUUAGUUGCCAUCAUUCAGUUGGGCACUUAGGGGGACUGCCGGUGAUAAGCCGGAGGAAGGUGGGGAUGACGUCAAGUCCUCAUGGCCCUUACGGGCUGGGCUACACACGUGCUACAAUGGCGGUGACAGUGGGCAGCAAGGCAGCAAUGCCAAGCUAAUCUCAAAAAGCCGUCUCAGUUCGGAUUGAGGUCUGCAACUCGACCUCAUGAAGUUGGAAUCGCUAGUAAUCGCGGAUCAGAACGCCGCGGUGAAUACGUUCCCGGGUCUUGUACACACC
rnacentral:rRNA from 1 species